rnacentral:rRNA from 1 species
GAUGAACGCUGGCGGCGUGCCUAAUACAUGCAAGUCGAGCGAACGGACGAGAAGCUUGCUUCUCUGAUGUUAGCGGCGGACGGGUGAGUAACACGUGGAUAACCUACCUAUAAGACUGGUAUCACUUCGGGAAACCGGAGCUAAUACCGGAUAAUAUUUUGAACCGCAUGGUUCAAAAGUGAAAUACGGUCUUGCUGUCACUUAUAGAUGCAUCCGCGCUGCAUUAGCUAGUUGGUAAGGUAACGGCUUACCAAGGCGACGAUGCAUAGCCGACCUGAGAGGGUGAUCGGCCACCCUGGAGCGUAGACACGGUCCAGACUCCUACGGGAGGCAGCAGUAGGGAAUCUUCCGCAAUGGGCGGGAGCCUGACGGAGCGACGCCGCGUGAGUGAUGAAGGUCUUCGGAGCGUAAAACUCUGUUAUUAGGGAAGAACAUAUGUGUAAGUAACUGUACACAUCUUGACGGUACCUAAUCAGAAAGCCACGGCUAACUACGUG